GAGCGAAGCACAUAAAAUGGAAUCUUCGGAUGAAGCUUUAUGUGACUGAGCGGCGGACGGGUGAGUAACGCGUGGGCAACCUGCCUUACACAGGGGGAUAACAGUUAGAAAUGACUGCUAAUACCGCAUAAGACCACAGGACUGCAUGGUCCGGUGGUAAAAACUCCGGUGGUGUAAGAUGGGCCCGCGUCUGAUUAGGUAGUUGGCGGGGUAACGGCCCACCAAGCCGACGAUCAGUAGCCGACCUGAGAGGGUGACCGGCCACAUUGGGACUGAGACACGGCCCAGACUCCUACGGGAGGCAGCAGUGGGGAAUAUUGCACAAUGGGGGGAACCCUGAUGCAGCGACGCCGCGUGAGCGAUGAAGUAUUUCGGUAUGUAAAGCUCUAUCAGCAGGGAAGAAAAUGACGGUACCUGACUAAGAAGCCCCGGCUAACUACGUGCCAGCAGCCGCGGUAAUACGUAGGGGGCAAGCGUUAUCCGGAUUUACUGGUGUAAAG
rnacentral:rRNA from 1 species